AAUAGAUACCCGGGUAGUCCACGCCGUAAACGAUGAGUGCUAAGUGUUAGAGGGUUUCCGCCCUUUAGUGCUGCAGCUAACGCAUUAAGCACUCCGCCUGGGGAGUACGGUCGCAAGACUGAAACUCAAAGGAAUUGACGGGGGCCCGCACAAGCGGUGGAGCAUGUGGUUUAAUUCGAAGCAACGCGAAGAACCUUACCAGGUCUUGACAUCCUCUGACAACUCUAGAGAUAGAGCGUUCCCCUUCGGGGGACAGAGUGACAGGUGGUGCAUGGUUGUCGUCAGCUCGUGUCGUGAGAUGUUGGGUUAAGUCCCGCAACGAGCGCAACCCUUGAUCUUAGUUGCCAGCAUUUAGGUUGGGCACUCUAAGGGUGACUGCCGGUGACAAACCGGAGGAAGGUGGGGAUGACGUCAAAUCAUCAUGCCCCUUAUGACCUGGGCUACACACGUGCUACAAUGGAUGGGUACAAAGGGCUGCAAGACCGCGAGGUCAAGCCAAAUCCCCAAUAAAACCAUUCUCAGUUCGGAUUGUAGG
rnacentral:rRNA from 1 species